AGUGAACGCUGGCGGUAGGCCUAACACAUGCAAGUCGAACGGCAGCACGGGAGAGCUUGCUCUCUGGGUGGCGAGUGGCGGACGGGUGAGGAAUACAUCGGAAUCUACUCUGUCGUGGGGGAUAACGUAGGGAAACUUACGCUAAUACCGCAUACGACCUACGGGUGAAAGCAGGGGACCUUCGGGCCUUGCGCGAUUGAAUGAGCCGAUGUCGGAUUAGCUAGUUGGGGGGGUAAAGGCCCACCAAGGCGACGAUCCGUAGCUGGUCUGAGAGGAUGAUCAGCACCACUGGAACUGGGACACGGUCCAGACUCCUACGGGAGGCAGCAGUGGGGAAUAUUGGACAAUGGGCGCAAGCCUGAUCCAGCCAUACCGCGUGGGUGAAGAAGGCCUUCGGGUUGUAAAGCCCUUUUGUUGGGAAAGAAAUCCAGCUGGCCAAUACCCGGUUGGGAUGACGGUACCCAAAGAAUAAGCACCGGCUAACUUCGUGCCAGCCGCCGCCGUAA
rnacentral:rRNA from 1 species